CCAUUAAAUAAUAAUAAGAAGAAGAUGCGUAGUGGCGUGCACAGACAGCGUGCACACGAACAGGAGGGAGAGAGAACUUGAUAAAGUUCUGCAGACACACCGUUCGAAAAGCUAGCUCUCUCUCUACAUAGCAGAUGGGAGUUUUACUUACAGAAAGGUGUUCUGAGGGCAGAAAGACAAAUGAUUGGUUCAGAGAAAUAACCAAUCAAAAUGCAGAGAAGGCGGGCAGUAAAAAACUAAAUUAACCAAUCAAAAUGGAGAGAAGGCGGGCACUAAAAAGCCGAAAAAAAAUAAUGCGGGACUACAUUAAAAAAAAAAAAAUCCUAAAAAGCCGGAAAAAAAUAAUGCGGGACUACAUUUAAAAAAAAUAAUAAUCCUGUCAGCAGUGGAAGAUCCUUUAAAAAAAAAAUCCUGUCAGCAGUGGAAGAUCCUUUAAAAAAAAAUCCUGUCAGCAGUGAAAGAUCCUGGCUGAGCGGCUGAGAAAACGUCUUUGAAACUGCACCAGUAGAGGAAAAAAAUGGAGAAUAUUUGGAUUGAAGGUGUUAAACAAAAGUUGAAGAAGGUUACAGAUCCUGAUAUCAUCCAAGAAGUAGUUGUUGUUUCUGAGGAGGAGAAGGACUUUAUGCAGUCCUACAUCAAGAAAUUGGAAGUGGAAUCUCACAGCUACUUUUAAUCUCCUGUAUGUACUCACAAGGACUACUACUACUAUGCCUGUGAGAGAUCAAAAAAAGCAAAGGAAAUCCAACCAAAACCAGGGCCAACUCUUGCAAAGCCUAUGUGUCUUUUAGUAUAAUUAAGGAUGCUGUAUUUACUGGUGCUGUUGUGCACAAAAUGCUGAAACACGUUGGACAUGAUGUCGGGAUGUCGGCAUACAAGAAGAGGGUGUAAAAAAAUUUUUUGAUCCAGAGCUACUGGUUUUCAUUGACAUGUGGCUUGAACAAGGUCUAUCAGUGUCCGAAACACUUCUAAAAAGUGUUGAUUGGGCAGAACGUCAUGGCCACAUGGACAAACACAAUCGUCGAUACUAUGUUACACCAACUAUGUUGACAUGCUAGUCACAUCAGAGCUAAAGGAGAACAUUUGUUUUCAUCAGCCUUUAAGUGAUGAUAAACCCUUGAUAAUUGUAGUACAGACACCCUGGCAAAAACUGAUUUUAAAAGAACAUAAACAUCCCAUGGUGUUCAUGGACGCCACCUACAAAAGCAUUACCUCAUAUGGCUGUGCGUUUUAUGCACUUCUUCUGACUAAUAGUACUGGAAGAGGGAUUCCAUUUGCAUACUUUAUUAUCAGCCGUGAAUCAACAGCCACACGCCUGGAAAAGCUUUCUAGAUGUAACCCCGGGUUUCUUCCCAGUUUUCAGGUCAGUGAUGAUUGACAAGGACCUGAAAGAGCUAAAUGCCAUAAGACAGAUUUUUCCGUCAGCAAAGGUUCUUGUUUGCUGGUUUCAUGUGCUGCAGGCUGUGCAUCGGUGGUUGGUAAAAAGGGAUGGAGGGAACCUGCAAGUGGACCAGAGAAACGUGGUGAUUCAAACAAUGGUAGCAAUGAAGAUGUGCUUAACGAUAAGACUCUCUCACACCCAGAAAGGAAAUACAGAAACUUGGGGAAGAGGAGUUUAAUAACACAUCAGCUACAAAAUGCAGAGAGCUGGAUUCCUACUUUGGUAGUUCACAUGUAUCUACCUACUUGAACAGUCAAUGGAUUUCUUGUGGGGAGCUGUGGUCCAGUUUCGGCAGGUCAUUUAAUCAUGAAAACAGUGAGACUAACAACAAGGCAGAGAGGUUCUUCCUCACAAUAAAAUAUCAAUUCCUGAAGGGGAACGCGAACAGGCGAAUUGAUCAGCUCCUUCAAUUGCUCUGUGGGGAUGUUCAGAAAUAUUACUGUUACAUGGAUGACCUGGCAGAAAUUGGAAGAAUCAAGGGAGCCAACACUGAUGACCUCUGUAAUGUAGUAAAAUCUAUGAUUGGAAGGGGACUAGAUUCAAAAUGUACAAUUAAUGAAAAUGGAAUAUGUGUUGUUCCACCUGAUACGAGUGCACAGUCUCAUACAGUUGAUUUGGUGAUGGUCAAGUGUGACUGUAGAAGAUACAAAACUGGUUCUUUGUGCAAACAUAUAGUUUUUUCACGAACAGUUGCACAGCAACAAGGAGUAGACAUUCAAAACCUCAAGACUGCUGUUGCUAGAAAAGUCAUUGAUAGCCAUGCAUACAUCUCAGAUCAUGAAAACCUCGCAGUCUUUCACAGUGAUGGGAGUGCAGGAAUUAUAAAUCACAGAAGUCCAAAGUUUUGCACAUGUAUAGCAAAUAGUCAUAGCAAAGAAUGUGUCUAUGUUGGUUUAUGACAUCCUCUACCCACCACUGACACUUUCUGAGCCGAUUUUAAACUAUCCACAUUGCUGGAAUGAACCCAAGAUAAAGACAAAAGAUGAUUGCAGGCCAUGUUGACAGACCUUAUUGAAUGGAGCCAGUCAGACAAGUACACUGAGAACAGGGAGCUGUACAAGAUGGUUGAACUAGUUUUUUCAAACUUCAGUAUUGUGUCAAGAAAAAGAAAAACAACUGCACUACAUGCCUAUCGCCAACAGAUAAAAAAGGCACAUCGUACAGUCACUAUGAAUUAUAUUUGUAGACGUAAAAGCAGAGGGAAAAAAAGUAGAAAGUAGAGCUGCAACAUAUUGACAGAAUUCAAUUAAAUUGAUAGAGGCAUUAUUGCACAAAACUUAUCAAAGUUAUCAAGUAAUUUGUACUUUUUAUUAAUUUUAAUUUGCCACAAAGUUUUAAAGUUUUAAUGAUGUUAGUUUUUAUGAACAAAUGGUAUAGCUAUAAAUAAAUCAAAAUGAAACA